rnacentral:tRNA from 1 species
CCCCCUGUAGCUCAGUGGUUAGAGCAGGAGACUCAUAAUCUCUUGGUCCCUGGUUCAAGUCCAGGUGGGGGGA